ACUCGAGUGGCGAACGGGUGAGUAACACGUGGGUGAUCUGCCCUGCACUUCGGGAUAAGCCUGGGAAACUGGGUCUAAUACCGGAUAGGACCACUUGGCGCAUGCCUUGUGGUGGAAAGCUUUUGCGGUGUGGGAUGGGCCCGCGGCCUAUCAGCUUGUUGGUGGGGUCACGGCCUACCAAGGCUCCGACGGGUAGCCGGCCUGAGAGGGUGUCCGGCCACACUGGGACUGAGAUACGGCCCAGACUCCUACGGGAGGCAGCAGUGGGGAAUAUUGCACAAUGGGCGCAAGCCUGAUGCAGCGACGCCGCGUGGGGGAUGACGGCCUUCGGGUUGUAAACCUCUUUCACCAUCGACGAAGGUCCGGGUUUUCUCGGAUUGACGGUAGGUGGAGAAGAAGCACCGGCCAACUACGUGCCAGCAGCCGCGGUAAUACGUAGGGUGCGAGCGUUGUCCGGAAUU
rnacentral:rRNA from 1 species